rnacentral:rRNA from 1 species
UACGUAGGGUGCAAGCGUUGUCCGGAAUUAUUGGGCGUAAAGAGCUCGUAGGCGGUCUGUUGCGUCGGCUGUGAAAACCCGAGGCUCAACCUCGGGCCUGCAGCCGAUACGGGCAGACUAGAGUUCGGCAGGGGAGACUGGAAUUCCUGGUGUAGCGGUGAAAUGCGCAGAUAUCAGGAGGAACACCGGUGGCGAAGGCAGGUCUCUGGGCAUUAACUGACGCUGAGGAGCGAAAGCAUGGGGAGCGAACAGG